rnacentral:rRNA from 1 species
UACAGAGGGGGCGAGCGUUAAUCGGAAUUACUGGGCGUAAAGCGUGCGUAGGCGGUCUUGUAAGUCGGGUGUGAAAUCCCCGGGCUCAACCUGGGAAUUGCAUUCGAGACUGCAAGGCUUGGGUGCGGAAGAGGGAAGCGGAAUUUCCGGUGUAGCGGUGAAAUGCGUAGAUAUCGGAAGGAACAUCAGUGGCGAAAGCGGCUUCCUGGUCCAGCACCGACGUUCAGGCACGAAAGCGUGGGGAGCAAACAGG